GCCAGGCAUAGUGGCGCAUGCCUGUAAUCCCAGAUACUGGGGGGCUGAGGCAGGAGAAUCACUUGAACCUGGGAAGCGGAGGUUGCAGUGAGCCAGGAUUGUGCCACUGCACUCCAGCCUGGGCAACAGAGUGAGACUCUGUCUCAA
ensembl:misc_RNA Metazoa_SRP Metazoan signal recognition particle RNA